rfam:Brachypodium distachyon strain Bd21 chromosome 1, whole genome shotgun sequence.
UAUUUACUCCCUCUAAUCCUAAAUUCUUGACUCAAAUUUGCCAAAAUAUGGAUGUAUCUAUUCUUAAAAAGCGUCUAGAUACAUUUAAUAUUUUGACAACAAUUUAGGAUUAGAGGGAGUAUUAU